rnacentral:miRNA from 1 species
UAGCCCGAUUUGCUGUUUCUCUGAAUGUGUUUGAAUUUAGAGAAACAGUGACUGGGGUUA